AUUGAACGCUGGCGGCAGGCCUAACACAUGCAAGUCGAGCGAGCGGCGGACGGGUGAGUAAUGUCUGGGAAACUGCCUGAUGGAGGGGGAUAACUCCUGGAAACGGUAGCUAAUACCGCAUACCAUCAGAUGUGCCCAGAGGGGAUUAGCUAGUAGGGGGGGUACCGGCUCACCUAGGCGACGAUCCCUAGCUGGUCUGAGAGGAUGACCAGCCAAACUGGAACUGAGACACGGUCCAGACUCCUACGGGAGGCAGCAGUGGGGAAUAUUGCACAAGGGGCGCAAGCCUGAUGCAGCCAUGCCGCGUGUAUGAAGAAGGCCUUCGGGUUGUAAAGUACUUUCAGCGGGGAGGCGUUACCCGCAGAAGAAGCACCGGCUAACUCCGUGCCAGCAGCCGCGGUAAUAC
rnacentral:rRNA from 1 species